rnacentral:rRNA from 1 species
AGAGUUUGAUCAUGGCUCAGAUUGAACGCUGGCGGCAGGCCUAACACAUGCAAGUCGAACGGUAACAGGAAGCAGCUUGCUGCUUCGCUGACGAGUGGCGGACGGGUGAGUAAUGUCUGGGAAGCUGCCUGAUGGAGGGGGAUAACUACUGGAAACGGUAGCUAAUACCGCAUAAUGUCGCAAGACCAAAGAGGGGGACCUUCGGGCCUCUUGCCAUCGGAUGUGCCCAGAUGGGAUUAGCUUGUUGGUGGGGUAACGGCUCACCAAGGCGACGAUCCCUAGCUGGUCUGAGAGGAUGACCAGCCACACUGGAACUGAGACACGGUCCAGACUCCUACGGGAGGCAGCAGUGGGGAAUAUUGCACAAUGGGCGCAAGCCUGAUGCAGCCAUGCCGCGUGUAUGGAGAAGGCCUUCGGGUUGUAAAGUACUUUCAGCGGGGAGGAAGGGAGUAAAGUUAAUACCUUUGCUCAUUGACGUUACCCGCAGAAGAAGCACCGGCUAACUCCGUGCCAGCAGCCGCGGUAAUACGGAGGGUGCAAGCGUUAAUCGGAAUUACUGGGCGUAAAGCGCACGCAGGCGGUUUGUUAAGUCAGAUGUGAAAUCCCCGGGCUCAACCUGGGAACUGCAUCUGAUACUGGCAAGCUUGAGUCUCGUAGAGGGGGGUAGAAUUCCAGGUGUAGCGGUGAAAUGCGUAGAGAUCUGGAGGAAUACCGGUGGCGAAGGCGGCCCCCUGGACGAAGACUGACGCUCAGGUGCGAAAGCGUGGGGAGCAAACAGGAUUAGAUACCCUGGUAGUCCACGCCGUAAACGAUGUCGACUUGGAGGUUGUGCCCUUGAGGCGUGGCUUCCGGAGCUAACGCGUUAAGUCGACCGCCUGGGGAGUACGGCCGCAAGGUUAAAACUCAAAUGAAUUGACGGGGGCCCGCACAAGCGGUGGAGCAUGUGGUUUAAUUCGAUGCAACGCGAAGAACCUUACCUGGUCUUGACAUCCACGGAAGUUUUCAGAGAUGAGAAUGUGCCUUCGGGAACCGUGAGACAGGUGCUGCAUGGCUGUCGUCAGCUCGUGUUGUGAAAUGUUGGGUUAAGUCCCGCAACGAGCGCAACCCUUAUCCUUUGUUGCCAGCGGUCCGGCCGGGAACUCAAAGGAGACUGCCAGUGAUAAACUGGAGGAAGGUGGGGAUGACGUCAAGUCAUCAUGGCCCUUACGACCAGGGCUACACACGUGCUACAAUGGCGCAUACAAAGAGAAGCGACCUCGCGAGAGCAAGCGGACCUCAUAAAGUGCGUCGUAGUCCGGAUUGGAGUCUGCAACUCGACUCCAUGAAGUCGGAAUCGCUAGUAAUCGUGGAUCAGAAUGCCACGGUGAAUACGUUCCCGGGCCUUGUACACACCGCCCGUCACACCAUGGGAGUGGGUUGCAAAAGAAGUAGGUAGCUUAACCUUCGGGAGGGCGCUUACCACUUUGUGAUUCAUGACGGGGGUGAAGUCGUAACAAGGUA